CACGCCUGGGCGGCAGGGCUGGGAACGGAACCCAGGCCUCGCCAGGCCUCCCACCGAGUGGAGGGAAGCAGGAGCAGGGCGCUGCACAAGCCAGGCUCCCAUGAAGGGAAGGAAGGCAGGGAGGAUGGGCACAGAGGGCACAUCUCAGAACAGCACUCUUAGGAAAGCAACAAGUGCCAGACAAGCAGGACAUGAGCAAGGAGCCCUGGGAACAGCCUUCCAAGGCCAUGCAUGGAACCAGGUGAGAAGCUUCAUGGGACUCAACAUCCAAGCCCCACAGGAGCAGUGCCUGACUGGGACCCAGGGCAGGGCUGCGAGGCCUCACCUGCAUGAAGACGCACUACCUGUGGCUGAGGUGUGCAGGUGGAGGGCUCUGGGCAGUAAAAUGCCUCCUCGAAACUAACAAAAGCUCCUUCCCACCCCCAGGAACCUUGAAAGUACUCCUGCAGCAGGAACACCACUUACAGGGGCACAAGCUGGCCCCAGGACUCUCUGCUCCCAGCAUGGAGCUUUGGGCAGUAAGGAUGGCCUCAUUGCUCAUGAUAGGCAAGCAGAGUCACGCCCCAGACCAGCUGACCAUGUGAUUCCUUCUUGGAAAGUGACCUUCACAAGCCAUCCCAAACCAGCCCAGGGACCACGUGCUCACCAGCUGGAGUGCCUCCAGGUCAGUGUGCAGGGUACCUGGGCCACGGAGGGCCUGUAGGGGCCCAAUAUACUCUGUCAGUCUUCAGUAGUGUGGGUUGGGCGGGGGUGGGGUGGUGCUGCGCCCCUCCCCUGACUCCCGAAAAGGCAAGGCCCUACUGAGGUGGAGGGCACAAGGCGUCCAUCCUCUGGAGGAGCGCAAUGUUUCUG
rnacentral:lncRNA from 1 species